rnacentral:rRNA from 1 species
GACAGAGGAGCCAAGCGUUGUCCGGAUUGACUGGGCGUAAAGCGCACGCAGGCGGACGCGCGCGUGGGGCGUGAAAUCUGGCCGCUUAACGGCCAGGCGCCAUCCCAUACGGCGCGUCUGGAGUGAUGCAGAGGUCGAUGGAAUUGCCGGUGUAGUGGUGAAAUGCGUAGAGAUCGGCAGGAACACCCAGGGGGGAAACCAGUCGACUGGGCAUCUACUGACGCUGACUGUGCGAGAGCGUGGGGAGCGAACCGGAUUGAGAUACCCCAGU